rnacentral:lncRNA from 1 species
CUUCUGUUUCGCUCCAAAAAUCUCUUUUUUUUUCUUUCUUUUUCGGCGUGAAAUGCUUGUAUCUGAGGUAGUGUAUUGUGGUGGUGCUGCGAGAUCUUGUGGUGUUCAAAAUCCUUAAUUUGGAGGACUUCCGACGACCCAUUUGUGAUAUGGGUACGAGUUAGAUAAACAGAGAUGGUGGCGGUGGCAUACGUUCUAAUAAUGGUGGCAACGGCGGUUACUGUGACAUGAGCUACUAUAGCCGUAUUUUCUCUUCGGAUUUCAUUUUCUUCUUUGGAUGCUUUGUUUUCUUCGGAUCGAUUGCGACUCUUUAUGAGUGACUCGCUUUCUCACCAGCUGUUC